rnacentral:rRNA from 1 species
GACGAACGCUGGCGGCGCGCUUAAUACAUGCAAGUCGAGCGAGAACCGGAGCUUCGGCUCCGGGGACAGCGGCGAACGGGUGAGUAACACGUGGGUAACCUGCCCUCGGCACCGGGAUAGCCCGGGGAAACCCGGAUUAAUACCGGAUGGCCCUUUCGGUCUUCGGACCGAUCGGCAAAGGUAGCUUCGGCCUCCGGCCGAGGAUGGGCCCGCGGCGGAUUAGCUUGUUGGUGAGGUAACGGCUCACCAAGGCUCCGAUCCGUAGCUGGUCUGAGAGGACGAUCAGCCACACUGGGACUGAGACACGGCCCAGACUCCUACGGGAGGCAGCAGUGGGGAAUCUUGCGCAAUGGGCGAAAGCCUGACGCAGCGACGCCGCGUGCGGGAAGAAGGCCUUCGGGUUGUAAACCCCUUUCGACCGGAACGAAUCCCCUCCUGGUAAAUAAUCAGGAGGAUCGACGGUACCGGGAGAAGAAGCCACGGCUAACUCUGUGCCAGCAGCCGCAGUAAGAC